CUUAAGUAUAGAGUUUAACUGUGUCAUUUUUAUUAGCAGGAUAUUCUAUCAGCAGAAAAGUUCAAAAAGCUGACUGAAUAACCCCUCUCACGUCAGUAAGGACGAAGUAAUACGGACAAUGUUCUCUCUGGUCACGUAUCCUUCAUGAAAUGUAAAUAAAUACUAGGAUGUGAAGCAUGUACUUCUGCAGAAUACAGCGUUGUCUGGAAAUAGACUCUUGCCAGGUAUUUGCAGACAGUGGCAGUUGGAAUUGCUUGGCCCAGAAAGAAAUUGUUGCUCUGCCAAAAGCAACAAGGAACCUUCUGAUGACUACAGCAGUACCAAAAGUUUGAUUCAGGUGAUUUGCAGUUGCCUGUGUUCACAAUUCCACUGUGUGGAAGGGAAGGCCAGCAACUUCCUUUCCUCAGUCCUGUCUUGCUAGGCUCAGACAGAUGGCUCAAGGAGAAAUGACAGCCUGAAACUAAUCAAGGCUGAGCCAGGUUUCAGAACUCAGGUAACACAAGGAAUAUUAAAAAAAAAUAAUAAAAUAUCAAAAGAAAACA
rnacentral:lncRNA from 1 species